rnacentral:rRNA from 1 species
AUUGAACGCUGGCGGGAUGCUUUACACAUGCAAGUCGAACGGCAGCACGGACUUCGGUCUGGUGGCGAGUGGCGAACGGGUGAGUAAUGUAUCGGAACAUGCCCAGUCGUGGGGGAUAACGUAGUGAAAAUUACGCUAAUACCGCAUACGAUCUAUGGAUGAAAGCGGGGGAUCGCAAGACCUCGCGCGAUUGGAGCGGCCGAUAUCAGAUUAGGUAGUUGGUGGGGUAAAGGCCCACCAAGCCAACGAUCUGUAGCUGGUCUGAGAGGACGACCAGCCACACUGGAACUAAGACACGGUCCAGACUCCUACGGGAGGCAGCAGUGGGGAAUUUUGGACAAUGGGCGAAAGCCUGAUCCAGCCAUUCCGCGUGCAGGAUGAAGGCCCUCGGGUUGUAAACUGCUUUUGUACAGAACGAAAAGGUUUCUACUAAUACUAGGAGCUCAUGACGGUACUGUAAGAAUAAGCACCGGCUAACUACGUGCCAGCCGCCGCAGUAA